AGCUGAUCAUUGGGUGUAAAGAGUGCGCAGGCGGUUUUGUAAGACAGAGGUGAAAUCCCCGGGCUCAACCUGGGAACUGCCUUUGUGACUGCAAGGCUGGAGUGCGGCAGAGGGGGAUGGAAUUCCGCGUGUAGCAGUGAAAUGCGUAGAUAUGCGGAGGAACACCGAUGGCGAAGGCAAUCCCCUGGGCCUGCACUGACGCUCAUGCACGAAAGCGUGGGGAGCAAACA
rnacentral:rRNA from 1 species